rnacentral:rRNA from 1 species
GACGAACGCUGGCGGCGUGCUUAACACAUGCAAGUCGAGCGGUAAGGCCCUUUCGGGGGUACACGAGCGGCGAACGGGUGAGUAACACGUGGGUGACCUGCCCUCAGCUCUGGGAUAAGCCUGGGAAACCGGGUCUAACACUGGAUAUGACUCCAUGACGCAUGUUGUGGGGUGGAAAGCCUUGUGCGGCUGAGGAUGGGCCCGCGGCCUAUCAGCUUGUUGGUGGGGUGANGGCCUACCGAGGCGACGACGGGUAGCCGGCCUGAGAGGGCGACCGGCCACACUGGGACUGAGACACGGCCCAGACUCCUACGGGAGGCAGCAGUAGGGAAUAUUGGUCAAUGGGUGAGAGCCUGAACCAGCCAUGCCGCGUGCAGGAAGAAGGCCUUCUGGGUUGUAAACUGCUUUUGCCGGGGAUAAAGACCCUUGCGAGGGAAAUUGAAGGUACCUGGUGAA